AGGCGCGUAGCUCAGUUGGGAGAGCGCCGCCCUUACAAGGCGGAGGUCGGGGGUUCGAGUCCCCCCGUGCCUA
rnacentral:tRNA from 2 species